UACGUAGGGUGCAAGCGUUGUCCGGAAUUAUUGGGCGUAAAGAGCGUGUAGGCGGCCCGACCAGUCCGCUGUGAAAGUCCAGGGCUCAACCUCGGAUCGGCCGUGGCGACUCGUGGGCUGGAGCACUGUAGAGGCGGGUGGAAUUCCGGGUGUAGCGGUGGAAUGCGUAGAGAUCCGGAAGAACACCAGUGGCGAAGGCGGCCCGCUGGGCAGUGGCUGACGCUGAGGCGCGACAGCGUGGGGAGCAAACAGG
rnacentral:rRNA from 1 species